GGUUAAGCGACUAAGCGUACACGGUGGAUGCCCUGGCAGUCAGAGGCGAUGAAGGACGUGCUAAUCUGCGAAAAGCGUCGGUAAGGUGAUAUGAACCGUUACAGCCGGCGAUGUCCGAAUGGGGAAACCCAGUGUGAUUCGUCACACUAUCGUUAACUGAAUACAUAGGUUAACGAGGCGAACCGGGGGAACUGAAACAUCUAAGUACCCCGAGGAAAAGAAAUCAACCGAGAUUCCCCCAGUAGCGGCGAGCGAACGGGGAGCAGCCCAGAGUCUGAAUCAGCUUGUGUGUUAGUGGAACGGUCUGGAAAGUCCGACGGUACAGGGUGAUAGUCCCGUACACCAAAAUGCACAGGCUGUGAACUCGAAGAGUAGGGCGGGACACGUGGUAUCCUGUCUGAAUAUGGGGGGACCAUCCUCCAAGGCUAAAUACUCCUGACUGACCGAUAGUGAACCAGUACCGUGAGGGAAAGGCGAAAAGAACCCCGGCGAGGGGAGUGAAAAAGAACCUGAAACCGUGUACGUACAAGCAGUGGGAGCACCUUCGGGUGUGACUGCGUACCUUUUGUAUAAUGGGUCAGCGACUUAUAUUCUGUAGCAAGGUUAACCGUAUAGGGGAGCCGCAGGGAAACCGAGUCUUAACUGGGCGUUAAGUUGCAGGGUAUAGACCCGAAACCCGGUGAUCUAGCCAUGGGCAGGUUGAAGGUUGGGUAACACUAACUGGAGGACCGAACCGACUAAUGUUGAAAAAUUAGCGGAUGACUUGUGGCUGGGGGUGAAAGGCCAAUCAAACCGGGAGAUAGCUGGUUCUCCCCGAAAGCUAUUUAGGUAGCGCCUCGUGAAUUCAUCUUCGGGGGUAGAGCACUGUUUCGGCUAGGGGGUCAUCCCGACUUACCAACCCGAUGCAAACUACGAAUACCGAAGAAUGUUAUCACGGGAGACACACGGCGGGUGCUAACGUCCGUCGUGAAGAGGGAAACAACCCAGACCGCCAGCUAAGGUCCCAAAGUCAUGGUUAAGUGGGAAACGAUGUGGGAAGGCACAGACAGCCAGGAUGUUGGCUUAGAAGCAGCCAUCAUUUAAAGAAAGCGUAAUAGCUCACUGGUCGAGUCGGCCUGCGCGGAAGAUGUAACGGGGCUAAACCAUGCACCGAAGCUGCGGCAGCGACACUAUGUGUUGUUGGGUAGGGGAGCGUUCUGUAAGCCUGCGAAGGUGACCUGUGAGGGUUGCUGGAGGUAUCAGAAGUGCGAAUGCUGACAUAAGUAACGAUAAAGCGGGUGAAAAGCCCGCUCGCCGGAAGACCAAGGGUUCCUGUCCAACGUUAAUCGGGGCAGGGUGAGUCGACCCCUAAGGCGAGGCCGAAAGGCGUAGUCGAUGGGAAACAGGUUAAUAUUCCUGUACUUGGUGUUACUGCGAAGGGGGGACGGAGAAGGCUAUGUUAGCCGGGCGACGGUUGUCCCGGUUUAAGCAUGUAGGCUGAUUGUCCAGGCAAAUCCGGAUAAUCAAGGCUGAGGUGUGAUGACGAGGCACUACGGUGCUGAAGUAACAAAUGCCCUGCUUCCAGGAAAAGCCUCUAAGCAUCAGGUAACAUCAAAUCGUACCCCAAACCGACACAGGUGGUCAGGUAGAGAAUACCAAGGCGCUUGAGAGAACUCGGGUGAAGGAACUAGGCAAAAUGGUGCCGUAACUUCGGGAGAAGGCACGCUGGUGUGUAGGUGAAGCCCCUGCGGGUGGAGCUGAGACCAGUCGAAGAUACCAGCUGGCUGCAACUGUUUAUUAAAAACACAGCACUGUGCAAACACGAAAGUGGACGUAUACGGUGUGACGCCUGCCCGGUGCCGGAAGGUUAAUUGAUGGGGUUAUCCGUAAGGAGAAGCUCUUGAUCGAAGCCCCGGUAAACGGCGGCCGUAACUAUAACGGUCCUAAGGUAGCGAAAUUCCUUGUCGGGUAAGUUCCGACCUGCACGAAUGGCGUAAUGAUGGCCAGGCUGUCUCCACCCGAGACUCAGUGAAAUUGAACUCGCUGUGAAGAUGCAGUGUACCCGCGGCAAGACGGAAAGACCCCGUGAACCUUUACUAUAGCUUGACACUGAACAUUGAGCCUUGAUGUGUAGGAUAGGUGGGAGGCUUUGAAGCGUGGACGCCAGUCUGCGUGGAGCCAACCUUGAAAUACCACCCUUUAAUGUUUGAUGUUCUAACGUUGGCCCCUUACCGGGGUUGCGGACAGUGUCUGGUGGGUAGUUUGACUGGGGCGGUCUCCUCCCAAAGCGUAACGGAGGAGCACGAAGGUUAGCUAAUCCUGGUCGGACAUCAGGAGGUUAGUGCAAUGGCAUAAGCUAGCUUGACUGCGAGCGUGACGGCGCGAGCAGGUGCGAAAGCAGGUCAUAGUGAUCCGGUGGUUCUGAAUGGAAGGGCCAUCGCUCAACGGAUAAAAGGUACUCCGGGGAUAACAGGCUGAUACCGCCCAAGAGUUCAUAUCGACGGCGGUGUUUGGCACCUCGAUGUCGGCUCAUCACAUCCUGGGGCUGAAGUAGGUCCCAAGGGUAUGGCUGUUCGCCAUUUAAAGUGGUACGCGAGCUGGGUUUAGAACGUCGUGAGACAGUUCGGUCCCUAUCUGCCGUGGGCGCUGGAGAAUUGAGGGGGGCUGCUCCUAGUACGAGAGGACCGGAGUGGACGCAUCACUGGUGUUCGGGUUGUCAUGCCAAUGGCACUGCCCGGUAGCUAAAUGCGGAAGAGAUAAGUGCUGAAAGCAUCUAAGCACGAAACUUGCCCCGAGAUGAGUUCUCCCUGAGACUUUAAGUCUCCUGAAGGAACGUUGAAGACGACGACGUUGAUAGGCCGGGUGUGUAAGCGCAGCGAUGCGUUGAGCUAACCGGUACUAAUGAACCGUGAGGCUUAACCUU
rnacentral:rRNA from 1 species